rnacentral:rRNA from 1 species
GAUGAACGCUGGCGGCGUGCCUAAUACAUGCAAGUCGAGCGAACGGACGAGAAGCUUGCUUCUCUGAUGUUAGCGGCGGACGGGUGAGUAACACGUGGAUAACCUACCUAUAAGACUGGGAUAACUUCGGGAAACCGGAGCUAAUACCGGAUAAUAUUUUGAACCGCAUGGUUCAAAAGUGAAAGACGGUCUUGCUGUCACUUAUAGAUGGAUCCGCGCUGCAUUAGCUAGUUGGUAAGGUAACGGCUUACCAAGGCAACAAUGCAUAGCCGACCUGAGAGGGUGAUCGGCCACACUGGAACUGAGACACGGUCCAGACUCCUACGGGAGGCAGCAGUAGGGAAUCUUCCGCAAUGGGCGAAAGCCUGACGGAGCAACGCCGCGUGAGUGAUGAAGGUCUUCGGAUCGUAAAACUCUGUUAUUAGGGAAGAACAUAUGUGUAAGUAACUGUGCACAUCUUGACGGUACCUAAUCAGAAAGCCACGGCUAACUACGUGCCAGCAGCCGCGGUAAUACGUAGGUGGCAAGCGUUAUCCGGAAUUAUUGGGCGUAAAGCGCGCGUAGGCGGUUUUUUAAGUCUGAUGUGAAAGCCCACGGCUCAACCGUGGAGGGUCAUUGGAAACUGGAAAACUUGAGUGCAGAAGAGGAAAGUGGAAUUCCAUGUGUAGCGGUGAAAUGCGCAGAGAUAUGGAGGAACACCAGUGGCGAAGGCGACUUUCUGGUCUGUAACUGACGCUGAUGUGCGAAAGCGUGGGGAUCAAACAGGAUUAGAUACCCUGGUAGUCCACGCCGUAAACGAUGAGUGCUAAGUGUUAGGGGGUUUCCGCCCCUUAGUGCUGCAGCUAACGCAUUAAGCACUCCGCCUGGGGAGUACGACCGCAAGGUUGAAACUCAAAGGAAUUGACGGGGACCCGCACAAGCGGUGGAGCAUGUGGUUUAAUUCGAAGCAACGCGAAGAACCUUACCAAAUCUUGACAUCCUUUGACAACUCUAGAGAUAGAGCCUUCCCCUUCGGGGGACAAAGUGACAGGUGGUGCAUGGUUGUCGUCAGCUCGUGUCGUGAGAUGUUGGGUUAAGUCCCGCAACGAGCGCAACCCUUAAGCUUAGUUGCCAUCAUUAAGUUGGGCACUCUAAGUUGACUGCCGGUGACAAACCGGAGGAAGGUGGGGAUGACGUCAAAUCAUCAUGCCCCUUAUGAUUUGGGCUACACACGUGCUACAAUGGACAAUACAAAGGGCAGCGAAACCGCGAGGUCAAGCAAAUCCCAUAAAGUUGUUCUCAGUUCGGAUUGUAGUCUGCAACUCGACUACAUGAAGCUGGAAUCGCUAGUAAUCGUAGAUCAGCAUGCUACGGUGAAUACGUUCCCGGGUCU